rnacentral:rRNA from 1 species
GAUGAACGCUGGCGGCGUGCCUAAUACAUGCAAGUCGAGCGAACAGACGAGAAGCUUGCUCCUCUGACGUUAGCGGCGGACGGGUGAGUAACACGUGGAUAACCUACCUAUAAGACUGGGAUAACUUCGGGAAACCGGAGCUAAUACCGGAUAAUAUAUUGAACCGCAUGGUUCAAUAGUGAAAGACGGUUUUGCUGUCACUUAUAGAUGGAUCCGCGCUGCAUUAGCUAGUUGGUAAGGUAACGGCUUACCAAGGCAACGAUGCGUAGCCGACCUGAGAGGGUGAUCGGCCACACUGGAACUGAGACACGGUCCAGACUCCUACGGGAGGCAGCAGUAGGGAAUCUUCCGCAAAGGGCGAAAGCUUGACGGAGCAACGCCGCGUGAGUGAUGAAGGUCUUCGGAUCGUAAAACUCUGUUAUUAGGGAAGAACAAAUGUGUAAGUAACUAUGCACGUCUUGACGGUACCUAAUCAGAAAGCCACGGCUAACUACGUG